CCAAUUAUUUGCUGCACAGUUGUGCCCACUCAAAAAUUCCUCAAGUAACCUUUUUUCUAGCUGUGCUUGUAGCUUAUAGUCUUUCACUCUCACUGUUUUCACAUUGCAGUGUUGCUUUUGCAUCUCUUUUUUUUUCCCUCGCCUGGCGGCUUCUUUUUUUUUUCCGAAAAUGGCUUUCUCUCUGUUUUCCCUCAUCGGAACGGCUGCCGUGGCUCUUCUACUUGUGGUGGCUGCGCCAAGCUCUGCUGACACCAUUACUGUCAAUGCUGCCACACAGGCAUGGCUGAAGAUGUGGAUUAAGUCUAUUCCAAACCUGCAGAUCAUUUGGUUGAACCCGAACAUUUGCUCUCGCGCUGGCAUUGAGUGCGUUUCUGCCACCAACUCCAUCAACAUUCGUCUGGAUGGCGUGACGUCCACUGGAUUCAACUUCAUCGGCACCCUCCCUGAGGUUGACAGCUCCAUCGACGGCAAUGAGCUUCAGAUCACCAGCAUCUCCGUCAGAGGCAAGGCUCGCUUCACCGGCACUAUCCCUGCGUCGUGGUCGCGCAUCACCCGGCUGACUCGCCUGGAUUUUAGCAGAACGCGGAUGAGCGGCCGGAUUCCUGAUGAGCUCGGCAGCCUCGCUACCUUGGUGUCUGUCGACUUCUCGAACUCAUACUUCUGCUACGGCCUGCCCAACUGGAACGCUUCUAGCAUGCCGAUGCUUUCACAGGCCAUUUUCACGAAUAACAACAUGCGCGGCCCGUUUGCCUCAUCCUGGUCCACCUUCCCAGCUUCCCUGAAGCUCGACAUCACCGGCAACAAGCUAUGCGGUUGCAUGCCCAGCUCGUGGGACUCCAAAUCGAACCUGGUGGCUGCUGCCAAGGCCAUGGAUGCUGGCACUGUCUCCAACUGCUUUCGUUCUUGCAACUCCGCUUCCCUGUCUUACUGCCCGGCUCCGCCCACUGGCAACGGCGCGCAGAUGAUUACGAUGACUACGGCCGUGGUUGGCCUGGUUGUCGCUGUUGCUUCCUUGGUCUUCUGAGGACUAGAGACAUGUGCUGUCUGGGCGAGCUCAGCUUGAUCGUUCUUGCACUGUACUGUGAAUUGUACUUUGAGUUAAGCUUUAUUUUACCCCUUUCCUCCCGAAAAAAGAUAUUUAUACGCUCACCUUCUCUUUAUUUAUUUUGCAUUUAUGCGUUGAUUUUUCCUUUUUGUUUCUCAGCGUCACUUUUGCCGCUUGUUCAAGAAAAAAAAGGGCGAGUUGACAUGCACAUAGCAAAGUUAGGCAGAGGAAAGCAGAAUGUGCGAGGCACUUUUGAGUUUAUUUCGCAGCGUCUUUGCUGCCACUGUUGCUGUGCAUGGAGAGGAACGACUCUGCAUCGUUUAGGCUUAUGUGCAUACACCAAAGCAGCAAGAACAACAAAAUAAUAUCUAGUACUGCCGCGAAGUCAAAAGGCAAGGAGAACGCAGUGAAACAGAAAAGGAGGGCAAGGAGAAGAGCGAGAAGGAAAGCAAAUAAAACCAUGAAAUUACCUCUCGCCUAAAUCGUCGAUUUAAACCCUUUUAUGUGCAUUUUCCGCACUUUCUCCUCUAUGCAGCCGGUGGAUCAUCAACUGCGGUGACUUUAUCCAAGCUUUUCACUCAUUUCUGGCCAUUCGUUUCGAGUUUUGCUUUGCAUGCUUUGUUUUUCCUCAUUUCCUGAUUACGAAUUUCAUAAAUCAAGAAAAAAAAUUAUGGUAGACCAAUAUAAGCAGCUAAUUGCUCCUUAAUAUAUAUAUAUAUAUAUUUGAUUCAUCAUCGUCCGCAUUUACUUUUGUUUAUGCACUGCUGCUUUAUCUUUUUGCCUUUCCUUCUUUCUCCUAGUUUCGCUCUUUUUUCUCUCUUUUUUGGUCUCGACCCCCUUUUCGAGGUAUGGGAACAGUUUUAAAAAGCUUUCUCUACUACUUUCCGUGUUUUACAACUGCUUACAGUAUUCAUCAAUUUCGUGUGUUUGCACUUACGAAAAAAAAAUGUCUCCGUCUCCUACUUUGCUUUGUAUUUGUCUUUAUUGAUCGGUCAGCUGAAAGUCAGGAGGUCGCGUGAAGAGUUUGAGCGAUUUGAAUCACGUUCGCAGUCACAAACCUACCUAUCUUUUCAGUUUUCAAGAUGAGAAAAUCACAGAGGUUACGAAUAGAAUACAAUAAUAUUAUUACAUCCAGGAAGACGACGCCUCCAUUUUUUUUGAAGUUGAAGAAUGACCUGAUCGAAGAGAGGAAGCAAUAUAACGGAUGCGGUGCCAUAUACUUUUCCCCCUCUUCAUUCUUUUUUUCUUCUGGUUCUCCUUCCAGCACCACCUUUCUCUUCCCCUUUUCAUCUCUCUUCCAUUAUCUAUUUUCCCAAGCAGCCCAUGUGAUUAAUUAUUUCUCCAUUUCAUAUAUAUUUUAUUUUUUUUUUCUUCAUGCCCUGCCCGAUACUUCCGUUCUUUCUGAUUUCUAUUUUUUCUUUCGUUAUAUAUAUAUAUAUUUAUUUAUUUAUUCGUUUUUUUCCUUUUAUUCUUGCGCCGCUAGGACUAUGGCACUUCUACCCCUGCCAGAGCCUUUGCCUUGCCUGCGUUUGCUGUGAAGGUAGCCCACCUGAUGCUGUGCUUCAUACGCUACGCUAGAUCGACAGGCCUCUUGAAGCUCACUGCACACCUCGUCGCACGCUUCAACCUUGCACGCAGUGACCUGGUCACGCACGUCUCACCCUGCGCUGCAUGGGCUUCCCCUGCCGGGUGGCUAAGGCUGCUCACCGUGCCCCUCCAAACGACAAGCUAUAAGCUCUCUGUGCAUUCGCACCUGCUCAUUCACAGGCCCCUUCCACUUGACACACCCACGCCUGUCAAAGGCGUGCGGAUUCAGGAGAAAGCGGAAUACCCUUGCUGCAACGUAGACUCAUGGUGGCGUCCCACCUGUCACGGCACACGCGGACAAGCCAUCCAAACAUGCUCUCCAUGGCAUCAAUGGAAGCGGAAAAUGAAAAGCACGAGCCCCCAGGCUAAAACCUCAUCCUGGAGCAGAUCCCAGGAUGCAAAAAUGCGAGGACUGUCAAGCAUCGCUGGCAUGGUGUGUCACCACCAAACAAGGAAUGCAGAGGCCCGAGGAGCACGACUGAUGGGCGGAAAAGGCGCAAAGAGAUCUAUACCAAUCAUCCCCAAAGUGCAUGUGUGCGAAGCAUGCGGCGUCUUCUACGUCCGGCCGGAUGGGCUGAUGAGGCGCACAUGCCGGAAGCAUGGCGAGAGCACCCCGAGUUGCACCAACGAGGUCCUUCACACCCUCAUGUGGAGAGCCACCUCACCACAUUGUGGAGUGCCGCGGCUUUGGGCGACUGAGGGAGAAGCAUGGCACACAGGCGGAGCGCAGUGUCUCCAGAGGGCCUGGCAUGAGGCUGGCCAACUUCCUUCUCGGGCCCAUCCGACAUGCACCUAGACCACCCCUUGUUACGUGCACGCAAGACGUCACUGUCUCCGCACUCGAGCAGGUCCCUGCCACCUGAGCCGCUGAAAUCAGGGCAUGCAGUCAGCCCGGGGCCUUGCUGCGCUGGUGGCGCCGCACGGACGCGAGAAGGGACGAGGAAGGAUGAGAGGAGCCCGUACAACGCAUGACCUGAUUUGACGGCUGGACGGUGCGUCCAUGACGACGAGGAUUUAGCUGUAUUUUUGCUACAGCGGUGGGUGGUGAGCUGUGGCUGUGUGCGCGUCUCCUUGCUGACGUGCUGGUGGUGGCAGAAUGGACACGUCUGAAAGAGAGAGAACAAAAGGUGAUGUCUCUUUGCUGUUCUUGUCGAGCGUGGUAACUUUCUUUUAUUAUUCUUUGAUCUGUCUGCUGUCCUCAUUGCCUUUUUCCCCUUCCACACAUCUCACGUUCUCUCGUGGGCUCGCUUGUUCGAACCCUGCGCGUGUGUCACCAUUCUUUUAACCCUCUCCUCCCAUUCUCUCUUCGUCUUUCAAGCGAAAUGCAUCUAAAACAUUUUUGCAGUCUCGUUGUCGCGUGCAUGGACGUUGGUGUGUGUAUUCAUAAUCUGUGCGUGCUUGUGAGACGCCAAAUUGCAUGUGGCGCUUGUGUGCCACUUUCUUUUUUGUCCUACCAGGAGCGAAAGAGGUUUUAGAGAUAUCGUUCGCCACCACACCACCCAAACACAUUAUUGCCCUCUUUUUCGUCUCUCUUUUCCACCUCAUGUGCCCUCCCUCUCUCCCCCUUCCCCCCUGUCUGCCUCUCUUCGUUUCGCCUUCUCUUUGGUCGCUUCGUUGAUUUGGAUUAUGGCCUCGCGUUCGUCUCCCGCUCUCUCUCCCUCUCUCUGUGUGUGUGUGUGUGUGUGUGUGUGUGCGUGUGCGUGCCAGAGAGCGGGAUGGCGAUGCUUGGCACUGUGGCAGUAGGCAUACGAGCGGAGGAAAGAACGAGAGGAAAGGGAGUAGGGAGCUCGAGCGGCAGCAAAGCGAACAGGCAUAAUCAGCGGGCCGGGGGCAUUCUGCCUUCGCACACCGCACGCAGGGCACUGCACAGGGCCAAAAGCCAAGACACAAAUCAAGAAGAAAAGAUGCGCCCAAGGAAAACGAGACGAACGGCGGAAAGCGAAGGCGGCGUUGAGGGUUGUAGGCGAGGGGCAGCUGUUGUGAAGGAAGGGAAGAGCGGCGAGACGUGCGGGGGAGAAGAGUAGGAGGAGGGGAGUGGGAAAAAGAGGACAAGGAGACAGCACAUUCAUCAAUGAUAAGACGAUCGACUGGCUCUCCCUGUCCAGGCUCACACCCCUUCCUCCCCCUACCUCCCUACACCCACACGCAAGAAGACUGACGUCCACCUCCGUCAUCCUGCCCUUCCGGUUAGCCAUCUGAUCUUUACUUCCUUUCGUUGUCGUAUUGUUUGAUCCCUGUUUCCCCUUCGUCAUGAUGACUUAUGUGCACAGUUGACGCUCUACCCCCAAACACCCCAAACACAAAUGAGCCUCCCUCUCUCCACUGAUUACGUCUCAUCCCCGCCCUGUCCUCUCUCUACGACAAUACGUGUUCUCCACGCGGCCUUUUCGUAUCGCAGAACCAACCUGUGUGUGCGUGAUGUGCGCUGUCGAACCAGAGGCCGAUAAGUGGGUGGAUGGGAGGACUUGUGUAUGCCGUCUCAUAUGUGAACAAGGGUC
rnacentral:misc_RNA from 1 species